rnacentral:lncRNA from 12 species
GGGUUCCUCCUCAUCAUUUCUUAGUGAUUACUCAGGCAAGCCAACAAUUUACUCAUGUGAGUAAAGGUUUGCCCAGCUGGCAGCCCAAAAGGCAGCAUCAUCCAGACUGCUGGCAGAGCAAGGGUGGGAAAGAAAAAGCCCAACAAUUUGGAUUUUGCACAGCUCCACUGGCCUGCAGCUGAGUUUGUGUUGUAUUUUGUGCACUGUUACUGGUCCAUUCUGAGAGGUGUGUGAGUGGGGGGAUGUGGAUUUAGUCCUUAAAUUAGGGGUUGAGAUCCUUUUCUUAUCUCCCCCAGCCCCAGAGUGGGAAUUCUCAGUGCGUUCUGAACAGCAGUCACUGUACCCCAAAAAUGUGUCACACAGGUCACGAGCCCGCAGUGAAAACCGUAUGGGGGGCUGGCGGGAGGGCGUGGGAGAGACUGAGCUUGGAGUGGGAUAAAUGGGAUAAAUAGCCCUGCCCUGAAUCUCACCUCCUCUGCCUCUUCUCCCCUGCCCCCAUCAGUGCUGCAGUUGUGUCAGGUAGUGGCACUGUUGAGUACAUUAACCCAGAGCUGAGCAUUGCAGCCACACCGAGUGCGUGUCUGCGUGUGAGAGAGAGAGUGUGUGAGUGUGUGAGUGUGUGUGUGUGUGUGUGUGCCUGAUCAUUACCAUUUAUUCCCCACACUUCGCCCCCUCCCCCGCCCCCAGUGCUGCAGGACUCCGGGAGCGAGCGAUAGAAACAGAGGAAAGAGAGAGACAUCAGCCCCCCAGAUCUGCUUAACCAAAUCGCCGCCCCUUGCAGGGAGGGAGAGAGGGAGCGCGGGAGGAGGCGGGGGGGAAACCAGACCAAAAAGACAAAAUAAAAGACAGAGAAAAGAAAAAUCCAGCGGGGGAGCAAAAAGCCGCCCCCAGGCGCACCCUUUCUCAGCGGGGAAGGGGAUGCGGGUGUGUGUAAAACCGUGCUACUGGGAAGGGGUUGGAAUAUUUUUUAGGAGUUUGAAUAAUGUAUUUAUUUACCCCCCCUCUCCCACC